UUGUUGAAAAGGGGGUCUCAGUAAGGGGUAUCUUUUUUAAACCAAAAAAAUUACAUUUUGAUAUUGGAGGAAAAUGAAGCAAAAGGAAGGAAAAUUCUAUCUGUUUCCAUCCAGUCUUUGUCUGUUGAAUAUACCUGCAGUCACUUUAUGUAUACAUACUUACUCACACUCACAAGCACACACAUAUGCUCCCUGCUGACCUGGCAUGAUAGCACUCCAUAUGCCAAGCUCUUCACUAAUUGUUUUUUUUUCCCCAAAAAUAAAUAGCUCUAUCACAUAUAAAGAGAAAUCUUUGGGGGAAUUAUUAUGAGCUAGUGAAUGUUGACUAGAAAGAUUACAGAGUUUUGUCUUUGAGGAAGUUUUGUUUCUGUUGUUUUUUUAAUUUUGGUUUUGUUUUUCCCCGUGUUUGUUCUGUUUUUAAUCCACGAUUUUUUGUGAGCUGCUCAUUAUUCAAGGGAGCAGGGAAUGAGGCAAGCCAUGUAUUAUAGAUGGCAAAUGUGGCCUUAAUAUGGCACAGACUUUCUCAUUAAGAAAUGAGUCUCUUUCCCUACUCCUUGAAUCAGGACUGGCCUUGUCACUUGUUUUGACCAUUAGAAUGUAGUAGAAACAAUAAUGUACAUGUUCUAAGCCUUCAGGAGGCCUUAAUGCUUCUGCUCUUCCUACUCUUGGGAAUCCUGUAAUCACCUCUGUGAACAAGCCCAGGCAGCCUGUUUGGUGAUGAGAGCCCUGUGUCUCAUUUACUUUCAUCACUCAGCUGACAGACAAAUGAUAUCCAGUCAUGUCCAUGGCACGCUGGGCCAUCAGCUGACCACAGAUCUAUGAGUGAGACCAGCAGAGAGAUCACCGGCUGAUUCCCAGAACUGUGGGCUUAAAGCCGUGGCUGUGUUUUUUUGAUUGUUUGUGUCUUAUGAAGUUAAAGAUAAUUGACAUGCCUUGGCUACUGCUGUUGUGAAAAUAGGCUGACAUAAGAGGCCCAAUUCUUCAAUGGCCUGGUUUCCCCCUUUUGAACCAGAGCCUGACAUUGGACUGAAGGAGGCCCAGGGCCUAGCUCCUCCAGAGAGAGCCUAGUGAGGGAGUGGUCCUGAAGGGCUUGUAAGUCUGCACGAGAGUGCUGGUAGGAAUUCCCUGAGGCUCUAAGAAGCCUAGGGAGGGCUGUGGGGUUCUGGGUCAGGAAGCAGAGUUGGACAUCUUCCCAUGAGGCAUCAGGGGAAGAGGCACCUCCCACCUGGAAGUCAAAGUCCCAGUACCCUGGGUGCCCUUCAGCCCAGACCUUGCUGAGGUAAGCUCCUUACCUGGACAAUCUCCAGGAUCCCCUUUGUGGCCCACUGCUCCUGGUAACCCAGGGGACCCUUGUAUUCCUUAAGGGCCCAACCUCCCAGGAGCGCCCUGUAAGCCUCUGACCCCUUGGCCCGUAGGACAAGGGAACAGGACUCGGUAUAUCUGUUCUUGCUCUGUUUCUAUGAGAGUUUGAUUCCAGAAGAAAGAAACAUUGACCAGAGCUGACUUUCAUCACUGCUUCCAGUCCCAAGAAGAAAACCUUCCCAAUGGGAUGCCUGCAGAGGACCACCCCCAACUCCUGUGUGGAAGCUGGGCUGCCAGAGAAUCAGAGCUACAUCUCUGUUUUGAGUUAUAAUAUGCAGCCUAGAAAAGGACUGGAGCGGCGCAGGACUGGAAAAGAAUCAGACCUGAGAGGAAAUACAUACCAUCACGCAGGCAGCAGAUGAUUCCUGCCAGGCUUCGGAUAAUGGCAGCUGGAUUAAGAAGUUGGAUACAUUUGAGAAACAUCUAUCAGGGAUGCUGCAGGUGGGACAGAGGCAGCGAAUGGCAAGCAUCAGUGCCCUCCAGCCAGAGACUACAAGGAAUAUCCCUACAGUUGGUCCAGUUGAUGAUUUUUCUUUUCUUUUAUAUGUGUGUGUUGGGGGUACUUAUUAAA